rnacentral:tmRNA from 1 species
GGGGCUGAUUCUGGAUUCGACGGGAUUUGCGAAACCCAAGGUGCAUGCCGAGGGGCGGUUGGCCUCGUAAAAAGCCGCAAAAAAAUAGUCGCAAACGACGAAAACUACGCUUUAGCAGCUUAAUAACCUGCUUAGAGCCCUCUCUCCCUAGCCUCCGCUCUUAGGACGGGGAUCAAGAGAGGUCAAACCCAAAAGAGAUCGCGCGGAUGCCCUGCCUGGGGUUGAAGCGUUAAAAGGAAUCAGGCUAGUCUGGUAGUGGCGUGUCCGUCCGCAGGUGCCAGGCGAAUGUAAAGACUGACUAAGCAUGUAGUACCGAGGAUGUAGGAAUUUCGGACGCGGGUUCAACUCCCGCCAGCUCCACCA